UCCAUGUACCAUGACUACCCAACAUAUAACAGGACACCAAUAUCUGUCCACAUAUUAAAUACUAGUAACACUGAACUUGGGUCUUUUUAAAUAGAUAAAUCAUCAUUUUAAUAUUUUCUUUGCACUUCCAAAGGAUCAUCUUGAGAACCCCACACUGAAGAGAGCUGCUCCUGUAGGGCUUGAGUCCACAUCAGGACCACAGACACAGCCUGCAGUCUCAAAUCCUGAUGCUGCCUUUUAAACAAGCCUGCUAGAGGGACGUGAGAGAUACAUGGACAGAACACCUAUUUGAGCCAGUUCUCCCAGCCAGGGUCAUCUGAGACCAGCCAGUUGACUGUAGAGGUAUGAGUAUGUCCAGCCAAAGCCAGCCAAGCCUAUCCCA
rnacentral:lncRNA from 1 species